rnacentral:piRNA from 1 species
ACAGCCAGGGCCAGGUUGAAAGACCUU